rnacentral:rRNA from 1 species
CAGUAGCCGCGGUAAUACGUAGGGUGCGAGCGUUAAUCGGAAUUACUGGGCGUAAAGCGUGCGCAGGCGGUUGUGUAAGACAGGUGUGAAGUCCCCGGGCUUAACCUGGGAACUGCGCUUGUGACUGCACAGCUAGAGUAUGGCAGAGGGGGGUGGAAUUCCACGUGUAGCAGUGAAAUGCGUAGAGAUGUGGAGGAACACCGAUGGCGAAGGCAGCCCCCUGGGCCAAUACUGACGCUCAUGCACGAAAGCGUGGGGAGCAAACAGGAUUAGAUACCCCGGUAGUCCCUGUCUCUUAUAC